rnacentral:misc_RNA from 1 species
AAGUCGUAACAAGGUUUCCGUAGGUGAACCUGCGGAAGGAUCAUUACUGAAAACAAUGUAAAUUUUUGUGAAUAUGAUUUUGGACUGUGAGUGAGUGAGUGUGUGUGUGUGUGAGUUUGUCUCUCUCUGUGUCUCUGUCUCAUCUCCCUGAGAUGAGAUGAGAUGGGAUGGGAUGAGAGAUGACAUCAUGACACGCCGGCACAGAUCCAAACUCUCAUCAACGCGCAACAACCAGCCUGAAAACAACAAAAACACUACACAACUUUUAACAAUGGAUCUCUUGGCUCUC